GUCAGGGAAUAGGGAGGAGGAGCGAGGGUCCGCUCAGGUUUCAGCAAUGCCACAUCUCCCUGUCUCCCCUUAAACCAGGCACACCCUGCCACGAUGGCAUCGGCCUCCAAGCGUCGCUGAAGCUAAUGGCAUUAGGAGAUGCUAUGAGGCAGCAGCCCAGUGACAGCGAGAACUUCCCAGAUGGCAAGGCGGCCUUCUUUUGCACCUGAUGCAGAUUGGCAUCCCCAGAUGUCUGAGAGAUAAGUCAAGGGCUACGACUUGCCGAGGGGGUGAAUGCGGGGUGCUGGUUUGGGACUCACCGGGAGGGGUUUUUGAGUCUGCUUUGGGGCUGAGGCUAUCCCAGUAGUGUCCCCUUAGGCCACAUAAAGGGAAAGUGUCACUUUUGAUCCCAGCGCUGAGGUGCGCAGGGUAGAGCAGUCCCAGUGUGUAUCGUGUCACUUGUCUAAUGUGCCUGGUGUUGUUUAUAUGUCUCAUGUCAUGCAUCGUCUACCUUAGCCCUUUGAGGGGCCCAUCAGAAACCCUGGCAUCAUUCUUAGCAUCUGUGAUCUCUGCAUUUCUUGGCCUGGCACCAAUGCCACAGGACUUUUGGCUCAGGAGCUCAGACAGGCAUCAGAAUUGCAUUUCUCUUUAGGAGCAUCCAGUCAGAUGUCUUUGCGGGUCUUGUUCUGAGCAGUACGUACUGCUGUGCAUUGUAAAGAUCCAUUAUGGCAGAUUAGGGCUUGUAAGAAUGCAAAGACAGGUAGAGGAUUCUGGCCGUAGGAUUCUCAGACGUCCAUCUUUGCAGUUCUUUGACGAAAUCAUUCUCUUAGGAGAUACUUCCUCCAUGGUUGUCUGAGCCUCAUCACCUCACUGUCAAUCUCACCUCAGUCAUUUCAUUUUCCAUUCUCUCAGUCCUUGCAGUGAUUCUUCUUGUCAAGAGAUAGUAGUCCCUGUUGUGUCCUCAUUGUUUGUCCUGUCCCGUGUCACGGGCGUUCGCACACGUUUGUGCCGGAGCUGCUCUGCCCUGCUGCGUAGCCUGGUGUAAUAGGACACAUCCUGGGGGCUUGAAAUUUGUAAUGUGGGGUGUAGUUGGAUUCUAGAUGGUAUUCCUAGGUUGACUCUAGGAAGUUGUCUGGAGCUGUGAAGUUAUCCUGCUGCCCUUUGAACUUUGUCCUGACUCUGUUUCAGAUGCAGACAGAUAAAAUCCAUGGCAGAACUCCCUAUCCCAGCAUUGUUCUUUUUGUUUAUUUUUAGGAAGUAAAGCCAUCUAGCAGCAGUCAAGGCAAAGUGGUCGAGGUGAGGAGUGACCAGUGGACAGAAGCACUUGCUAUUGCUGGGGUCUCAAUUUCUGGUGCAACUCUAAGCAUCCACUGUUUUUUGUUGGUUUUUUUUAGGCAGUCCACUUUCAAUCCAUGCCGGCUGAGGAUGCCCGAUGCCAGUACCUUCCAGGCAGACUCUGGAGUCAAAUCAAGAUUUGAGGUACUGCGAGGAGCUUCGUAGGCAAAGUUUGGAGAGAGCACCACCGAAGCACACGAGACCGUCUCAACGUGCACGUCCCACCGGGGAUGGAUUUUGUCAGCUCGUCUUCCAAAAGCUAAGUGUUGGGGCCCAUAGUUGGGAGAAGGGGAAAAACCUUUACUAUCAUAGGAGGCCAUGUGAUGUUAGCUUAGCGGAACAGGUCCCUCGGAUGUAAAGGGAGAGGGUUUCUCCUCGGCCUCACCAGAGCCUUUGCGGGGCAGGGCAGUUCCGACCCAUCUCCACGUUCUCGCGAACUUUGCGUCGUCAGCCUCCUUCGACCCUCGACAUCGUCGUGGAUCUUUCUCCCGAGGAGCUCGCCUUCAGGUGCGGAGCUAUAGCCACCAUCACCCGGCAGUCUUUGCUUCCCUCUCUAGGCCCACUGAGCCUCUCGAGCAUCCUCUUAACUGCUUUGGCACUAACUUCUUUUAAGGAGUUGCAUUUCAUCGUCACACGCUAUUGCCGUAGGACUCGCUUUACUUUGGCAUCUUUGGCCUCUGGCUCAUCUUGCGCUAGGAAUCUUGAGUCCAUAAGGUGAAACUGCUAGGCAGUUUCCACCUGUGUCUGUGUUAUGUCACCUGUGUCUGUGUUACGUUGUCUACGUUACGGUGUUUGCGUUAUGUAGUCUGUGUCCGUCUUCCGUGUCGUAGGCCUUUGUUACAUCUCGACGCCAUAUCGGCAUCAUUCCGUGCCGUAUCGGCCAUAUUUUACUCGCGUUCCUUCCCGGACAUUGCUUAUUCUGCCAUCUCUCUUUUGAGACACAAAGAAGUACACAAGAGGUUCUCAUCAGUCUACCGUCUCAGCUGUGGUAGUGCCUUUUUCUUCCUGUGCUAUUCUCUUGGGUUUCUAUAGGGAGUGUCUUACACCCUCCUCAUGUGACUGCCAUAGUUCUGUAGGUUCCAUCUUCUCAAAGGGUACGGUGCUCAAGAAUUAAUCUUCCAGAGAGUUAUCCCAAGUCCUGGUUUACAUUGUAUGUGCUUAUGUUGUAUGUACCUAUGUUGGCUUAUAUUGUAUGUGCUUAUAUUGUAUCUAAUUAUGUUGGCAUAUAUUUGCAUGUACUUAUAUUGUAUCUAAUUAUGUUGGCAUAUAUUUGCAUGUACUUGUAUGGUAUGUAAUUCUGUUGGCUUAUAUUGUGCGUACUUGUAUGGUAUGUAAUUCUGGUGGCUUAUAUUGUGCGUACUUAUAUUGCGCCACUUACAGUCGGAGCUGCCCUGCCCUGGCAUGUAGUCACAGUUAGGUAGAACAGUUUUAAAAACUUUACCAUUCAUCUAUCUUCUAUGGGAUUUUGGGUAGAAAACUUAGGGACCUGGAGCAGGGACAAGUCCUAGCCGUCAGAUAGCCACUCGUUGACCACCUCCCGUUGUCUGACAGGUCCCCGAGGCGACCGAUUUUCCUGGAAUCUACCAUUUGACGUCAAGAAGCGGCAGCCGGAUGACGCGUCGAAGCACGUUGUUCAGGGUUUCAAGUAGGGCUGCAGCGAGCGUGUAAUUCAAAGAGCGUGCGAGUCUGCGUGAGUGUGAGCGACCGUCUGCCUCCGCUUGUCUCUGUGUGUGCGAGUGUAUGCUGACCAGAUCUAAGCUUGUGCGUGUGACGUUUGCCUUUCAGGUUUUUCAACACAUUUUAAAAUUUAGAAUAAAAAAUCCCCAGCCGGGGGGUUUUUUUUUUUUCCCCCCCGGCUGGGUUUUUUUUUCCUCGGUCCCGGCCGGUCCGCGAGGCGACGUUCAUCGCCAAAGUUUGGGGGCGGACCGUCCCGGGACGGGGGUUUUUGUCAGGCAGGAGGAUUUUUUUGGAGGCUCCCGGGAACCACGUUCCUGUGGAGCACCCUUAAUGCAUGCCGGGGGUCAGCAGAGCGGUUGAGGUGCGAGCGAGGAUGGGUUUGCGUGUAAUGUGAAGGAGGCGUUCACGACGGAUGGGUGUUGCGUUCUGUGUGCUGCCUUUGUUUUGGGGUUCCUGUAACAAUAAAUCCAAGUGUAAUGAAAGUAGAAAAAAGGUUAUCGUCUUGUGUUAAUAUGUGUUUGGCUUAUGUUUGGUAUUGUCUUGUAUUUGCAUUUCUGUAUAUUGCUCUGUGUGUAAAUUGGACUUUUACCAGCAUGUGUAUGGAUUGUAUCUGUACUUGCAUUUGUAUACACUCUUUCCAUGUGUUUUGCUCAAGUGUGAAUAGGAAAAUUCAUUCAAUAAAGUUGAAUCAACCUGAAUAAAGAUUCCCCA